AUUGAACGCUGGCGGCAGGCCUAACACAUGCAAGUCGAGCGGUAAAAGGUUGCUCUCUCCUGUAUUCAGCGGCGGACGGAUGUGUAAUGCCUAGGACUCUGGCGGGUAGUGGGGGCUCACGUCCGCAGACGGGCGCUAAUACCGCAUACGUCCUGAGGGAGAAAGUGGGGGAUCUUCGGACGACACGCUAUCAGAUGAGCCUAGGUCGGAUUAGCUAGUUGGUGGGGUAAAGGCCUACCAAGGCGACGAUCCGUAACUGGUCUGAGAGGAUGAUCAGUCACACUGGAACUGAGACACGGUCCAGACUCCUACGGGAGGCAGCAGUGGGGAAUAUUGGACAAUGGGCGAAAGCCUGAUCCAGCCAUGCCGCGUGUGGGAAGAAGGUCUUCGGAUUGUAAAGCGCUUUAAGUUGGGAAGAAGAGGAGUAGGCUAAUACCUUGCUGUCUUGACGGUACCAGCAGAAUAAGCACCGGCUAACUACGUG
rnacentral:rRNA from 1 species